UGACAGAGCCCACGGGACGGUGCGGCAAGCACAGACUGAUGGCGUGCAGGCACCGGGGCGCCGCCUCGGCCCCUUUCGGGAGCUGGCCCUUCGGGAGGUGCUGGUCACGCCAAGGGAGGAUCGUCCCUCGCUCAUUCACACCGUGGUGGGGAUGGACUGAGCUCCUCCAGGGAAAUGGAGAGUUAAAACCACAGUGGGGAUCUCCCCAAAACAAAGCGCAGCCUUGGAAUCCAAAGGGACGGCCCUACUGAUGGUGGCCAGCGUGACUGAGUGGGCAGAAAGGGACAGCUAGACAGAGGACAAGCAAAUUGUUCAUAUUUUAGGUUUUGCUUCUGGGAUGACAACAGCCACCUGAAAUUGAAAUCAGCAUAAAUAAUAUCUCAACAAUUUGAUCCUGCAGUCUCUUAGCACAGUCUUACCAAGCAAUUACUCACAGAAAUAAAGAAUUUCAGAUUCCACAGCAA